GUGAAUCAUCGAAUCUUUGAACGCAAAUUGCACUCUCCUCGGAGAGGAUGCCUGUUUGAGGGUCAGCCUAUAAAAUUCGAAAAAGUUGCUGUUUCGCGGUGGCGUUCGUCGGUAAUUGGGUCAUGUUAAAUCUUUUUGAUUUAUGCGACUUACAAAUUUCUUUUUGUUUCCAUGAUCGUUUCUAAGAUUUAUUUCUUUUUACGUUUAAGGUAUAGAU
rnacentral:misc_RNA from 1 species